rnacentral:rRNA from 1 species
CGGCUAACUACGUGCCAGCAGCCGCGGUAAUACGUAGGUCCCGAGCGUUAUCCGGAAUUAUUGGGCGUAAAGGGCACGUAGGCGGACAAAUAAGUUUGAUGUCAAAUAUGAUGGCUCAACCAUCAAGAGGCGUUGAAAACUGUUUAUCUAGAAUCUCGGAGAGGUAAGUGGAAUUCCAUGUGUAGCGGUGGAAUGCGUAGAUAUAUGGAGGAACACCAAUGGCGAAGGCAGCUUACUGGACGAAGAUUGACGCUGAGGUGCGAAAGCGUGGGUAGCAAACAGGAUUAGAUACCCUGGUAG